UGCACAUGCGUUUUUCUCAUUAAUUCGUGAUAUUAACAACGCGGUGCUCGAAUUCUCAGAACACUGUGAUUUUAUUAAUCGACGAACCUUUGUGGGGGAACUGAAAAGAACAAAGCUCACAUACAACAUGUGCGGCGGCUUUACGUGCUCCAAAAACGCACUGACGGCGCUAAAUAUUCUUUACAUCGUUGUUGCAUUUAUUCUGAUAGGCGUUGCUGUUUAUGGGAGAGCCUCCGCAUUGGUUACAAACCUUCCCAUAAUUGGAGGCAUUCUAGCAUGUGGUGUGAUUUUGAUACUUAUCUCGAUACUUGGUCUUAUUGGUGCUGUUAAACACCACCAAGUUUUAUUAUUCUUUUACAUGCUCAUUCUGUUCCUGUUGUUCCUAAUUCAAUUCAGUAUCGCUUGUGCCUGUCUUGCUGUUAAUGCUAAGCAACAAGAACAGUUGGCAGAACAGGGCUGGAGACGCGUUGGAGAUGAUUUGAAAGCCAAGGUUCAGAUCACUUUCACUUGCUGUGGAUUUAAUAACACUGUAAACUCAAUUUUAGAUGACCAGUAUCCAGUGUCUUGUAAAGAUGUAAAUAAAAUUUGUUGCCCCUAUACUUCCGACAAUGACUGCAUGUGCCUAUCUUGUAUGGAAAAAUUAGAAUCGACGAUCGAUUAUGCGUUUAAAUUAUGUGGCAGUAUUGGAUUGUUCUUCAGCUUCACAGAGUUCAUUGGUGUUUGGUUGACCGUGCGGUACAGGAACCAGAAAGAUCCACGAGCUAAUCCUAGUGCUUUUCUCUAGUCUAACAUCAUCGCUAUGUCGUCUGUCACCUCAUACGAUCUUCAUAAUAGAUGGUGAUUUCAGCUUUCUUAGCGAGACGUUUUCGAAAUCAAUUAAAUCAACAUCAAGACGUUGUCUCUUUUCGCCACGGUUAUUUCCAGUAAACGCUUCAUAUGUUUUACAUAUAUACAUUUACGUUUGUUCGUCUGACGUUGGAUUCUAAUCUGAAUCGAAAAAGGAUCUAAUUUUUAUUUCACAGUACAUCACUUUGCAUAUGAUUCCCGCGGAACUGUUUUGUCUUUCACUGCAGUCUCCGAUGCUCAACAAGAACAAAAUACAUUCGGAAAAUUGACAUAGAUCUUAGCACGGAUCAAACGAUCGACGAUUGAAAUGUGUGCUCUAGUCAUUCAUUUAGAUCAAUUAUAUUAAGCCUCAAUGCGCCUUGUAGUGUAAUAUUUAGAUACGUUUGUGCAAGCGCGUUUCUACAGAACUUACUUGUCUUACACAGAACGUUUCAUCAAUAUGAUCUAUUGUUCUAGCAAUCUCCCUAGUCAAGGAACUAUACUUUCCCUUUAAAACGAGUGCAAACAAAUUUUUAUGGGGUGCACAAUUUUCAUCCUAAUUCUAAGUUGAACAAUCGUUUAUACACUAUCUUUUAUUUAUUUUCAAAUAAGAGAUAUUCAAUUUUACAUUAACCAGAAAUAUUAAUCAUAGAAACGAGUAUCCUUUCACUGAAUUUUAACAAAGUAUUAAGUCGAACAAGUUUUAACGAAUAAUUUCUCCCAUGAUUUGCAAAGUAAUAGUAUUGUGCUAAUGAAUCAAAUAUAUUAAUUCUUUAACGAAAAUUAAAAUGUGCGAUUUAAGACAUCUCGAAUAAAAAUUUUUCGUCUGAUAUAUUAGCAUAGUACUGUCGUAUAUAAUAAUAAUAAUAAUAAUAAUAAUAUAAUCAUUACAUUAUCAAGUU